CUUUGGCUUUCUUUAUUUGUCUGUCUCAAAUAAUAAAUUGGGAAUGGGUGCUAUUGCCUAGUAGCUAGGGCUUCUGCAUAUUGCAUUUUACUUGAUUAUUCUGAUUAAAUGACAAAACAGACAGACAUCUGAGAGACAAACAUUGGAGAAAGACAUUUUGGUUCAAUUGGGGGCUCUGGUUGUCUCUCACACUGUACUGCACAACACGCAUUUACAAAUAUCCCCGAUCUUAUCCUUGAUAUUUUUCACUCGAAUAAAAAUUAGGGAUAUUGAUUUGUACUAAAAAUAACAUGUUUUGAUUUGCUUCUAGUCUCUCCACGGCAUACCUAUGAGAAUGAGGUAUGAAGAGCCGUGGUCGACUAUGGCCCUAACAAGUGAGCUAUGGUCGAUUAUGACCCUACGGAGUAAGCUAUGGUCGAGCAAGCAAGCUUCGCUCAGUCGGGUAGUGCAAUGGGCCAUGUAUGGAGUUUUCCAUACUCAUUCUAUUAGUGCUCCGGCUCAUCACUAGUGCACAGAGCGCGCUAAUGGGCCAAGGAACCAUACUUGAUAGUCUAUAUGCCCCCAUUUAGGCUAGCUUGUAUGAAAAGAUCGUGGAGGGAAUCAGAGUUUAGCACUUAAACAAUCUCCUUUAUUAAGAAAGAGAUAAUGAUAGGACUUCUAUAAAGGUACUUUAGUUGAACUUUAUUUUUUGUGUGAUUAUUGUUGGGUCUUGCUUUUCCAGUUACUUCCACUGUUAAUAUUGGCUAAAGUUUUGUUUUUCCGUAAUCAUUUGAUGGCCAAGAAGAUAAAUGAAAGAAAAGAAGAAAUUGGAAAUUUACAAUGGUUUCUCAACAAUUAUAGAAGAAUUCGUGUUUGGUGUGUUGUGUUUUUGUUUUUUUGAAGUUUACUUGUGUUGUAAUCAACCAAGAAGCAUGUGUGUGCUGUGCUGUUGGUUAAAUGAUUGAAGAGAAGAGUGAGAAUUAGGAAAAGAGUGAGAAUUAUACCUUCGAGCUUCAUGAAGAUAUCGAAAAAGAGGUGUGGCUAUAUUUGUGUCAAUUGUGGGCUGAUAAGACGUACCAGGUAUGGCAUCGUCUGAUAAGCCAGAGAUAGUUGAAAGUAUUGAUCAAUUCAUCCAUUUCAAUUGCUUCCGUUAGUUGUUUUUGUGUUCUUGCACUGAUUCUGAAUCUGGGUUGUCUUCACCUCUCUGAUAAAUCCAUUUCAGGUUAAUAUCGUUCUGGAAAGAAAAAGAUCGUAACAAGAGAAAAAAAAAGAGUGCAAAUCCGUGACUGAGUAGUUCUGUUCGAGCAGAAUACACAAUCUGCAUCAGCAGAUUUCCUUGAAUAAGUUUUGCCUCUUAGUUGAUUUGCUUGAGCGGAACAUUUAAAUGGCAUGCAUGGAUUUGUCUCGUUUUGUGUGCAUGCAUUUUUGACUCAGAAUUGACUUAGAGGUGAUAAAAGGAAGUUUUGGGUAAUUGUUUUGGCAUCUGAAACCCUAGAGAAAACGGCUAGAAUCUAGAAGAGAAGAAUAAUUAUCAAUCCAUGGCGUUCUUUUCAACCUUUGAAGUGUUCAACCUUUCUAUAAGCGGCUAAAUUUUUUUCUUAGGAUUGAGAUGAAACUCUAAUAAAGUAUCAUGUAAUUUUGUACUUUAAUUCUAGUUUUUCUUUGGAAUUAGAUAAUCGUUGUAUGAUUGUCUUUAGAUCUUUUAUCCAAUUUAUGUAUUUGAUUUUUGUGACUGA